GUAGGUGGCAAGCGUUGUCCGGAAUUAUUGGGCGUAAAGCGCGCGCAGGCGGUUCUUUAAGUCUGAUGUGAAAGCCCACGGCUCAACCGUGGAGGGUCAUUGGAAACUGGAGAACUUGAGUACAGAAGAGGAAAGCGGAAUUCCACGUGUAGCGGUGAAAUGCGUAGAGAUGUGGAGGAACACCAGUGGCGAAGGCGGCUUUCUGGUCUGAAACUGACGCUGAGGCGCGAAAGCGUGGGGAGCAAACAGGGAUUAGAUACCCUGGUAGUCCACGCCGUAAACGAUGAGUGCUAAGUGUUAGGGGGUUUCCGCCCCCUUAGUGCUGCAGCUAACGCAUUAAGCACUCCGCCUGGGGGUACGGCCGCAAGGCUG
rnacentral:rRNA from 1 species